UCUAAUAUGGCAGAAAAGUGCAAUGGAUUUAAGCUCCAUAUAUAAAGAGCUACUCUUUUAUUAGAA
rnacentral:tRNA from 1 species